GUUAAAGUAGCACAGCUUGGCCAUGCAAAAGAUCUAAGCCCUUUACACUGGGGUUCAAAUCCCCCCUCUAACA
rnacentral:tRNA from 1 species